rnacentral:rRNA from 1 species
CAAUAGCGUAUAUUAAAGUUGUUGCGGUUAAAAAGCUCGUAGUUGGAUUUCUGGUUGAAGCGACCGGUCGGGCGUUGAUUCGUCUGCACUGGAGUCGGUUUUGGCCAUCCUCUAGGAAAGUGCGUCUGGUAUUAAGUUAUCGGGCGUAUGAUCCUGGUCUUUUACUGUGAAAAAAUUAGAGUGUUUAAAGCAGGCCUUCGCCUUGAAUACAUUAGCAUGGAAUAAUAAGAUAGGACUUUGGUCUAUUUUGUUGGUUUGCAGACCGAAGUAAUGAUUAAUAGGGAUAGUUGGGGGUAUUUAUAUUCCGAUGUCAGAGGUGAAAUUCUUAGAUUUUCGGAAGAUAAACUUAUGCGAAAGCAUUUACCAAGGAUGUUUNCAUUAA